GAUGAACGCUGACAGAAUGCUUAACACAUGCAAGUCAACUUGAAUUUGGGUUUUUAACUUCGGUUUGGGUGGCGGACGGGUGAGUAACGCGUAAAGAACUUGCCUCACAGCUAGGGACAACAUUUGGAAACGAAUGCUAAUACCUAAUAUUAUGAUAAUAGGGCAUCCUAUAUUUAUGAAAGCUAUAAGCGCUGUGAGAGAGCUUUGCGUCCCAUUAGCUAGUUGGAGAGGUAACGGCUCACCAAGGCGAUGAUGGGUAGCCGGCCUGAGAGGGUGAUCGGCCACAAGGGGACUGAGACACGGCCCGUACUCCUACGGGAGGCAGCAGUGGGGAAUAUUGGACAAUGGACCGAGAGUCUGAUCCAGCAAUUCUGUGUGCACGAUGAAGUUUUUCGGAAUGUAAAGUGCUUUCAGUUGGGAAGAAACAAAUGACGGUACCAACAGAAGAAGUGACGGCUAAAUACGUG
rnacentral:rRNA from 1 species